rnacentral:lncRNA from 1 species
CUGCAGGUGCCAGGGUAAUAAAUCUGGACUCGCCUCUUUUGUCAGCUGGCAGUGAACACAUUUUAACGUGAAAUCUCCUGGGAAGAAUUAAGAGUCACUUGGCCUUGUAAAGGAGAAAGGGUUUUACUUCCAAACUGCCAAGUGGGGAGCUCACAGCUGAUUGGUUUCAUAAUACUUUAUUAUUUGACAAUAUAUAUGCCUCGGGUUGUAUUUCAGAAUACCACACCUACGGGAUAACCAGCGCCGUGAGAGAUUUGUCAUCAAAUUCUAGAAUAAAAACUUAUUUGGGAAGAUUUUCGCCACAAUUUCUUUUUAUGAAUCCCAAAUUUAAUGUAUGAUUGACGAGUUAAGUGCUUUCGAUUGGCCUAAGGAGUUUGGUGGACUUUUUAUUUUGACAGUUUAACAGCUCCUUCUCCCCAGGGGAAGCCUC